UACAGAGGUCUCAAGCGUUUGUUCGGAUUCAUUGGGCGUAAAGGGUGCGUAGGCGGCGCGGUAAGUCGGGUGUGAAAUCUCGGAGCUUAACUCCGAAACUGCAUUCGAUACUGCUGUGCUUGAGGACUGGAGAGGAGACUGGAAUUUACGGUGUAGCGGUGAAAUGCGCAGAUAUCGGGAGGAACACCAGUAGCGAAGGCGGCACUCUGGGCCGGUACUGACGCUGAGGAGCGAAAGCGUGGGGAGGCAAACAAGGAUUAAGAAACCCUGAUACGUC
rnacentral:rRNA from 1 species